GUUUAAAACAUAAAAUGAGCUAAGGAUCUACUCUUACCUCUUGGAGAUCGAGAGGAGAGGCGAUCUAACUUGGAGAUGGGAGAAAUCUCACUCCUUGGGUCUCCAAGCUCCAAAACUUGCUCUUUUUGCUCAAAUAUCUUCAAACCAAGAUAAAACUUGUUAAAACUCAAAAGAUUGGAGGAAAACAUCAAAAAUCAACCAUGG
rnacentral:lncRNA from 1 species